CCUACGGGUGGCAGCAGUGAGGAAUAUUGGUCAAUGGACGAGAGUCUGAACCAGCCAAGUAGCGUGCAGGAUGACUGCCCUAUGGGUUGUAAACUUCUUUUAUAUGGGAGUAAAAUGUUCCACGUGUGUGGUUUUGUAUGUAUCAUAUGAAUAAGGAUCGGCUAACUCCGUGCCAGCAGCCGCGGUAAUACGGAGGAUCCGAGCGUUAUCCGGAUUUAUUGGGUUUAAAGGGAGCGUAGGUGGAUUGUUAAGUCAGUUGUGAAAGUUUGCGGCUCAACCGUAAAAUUGCAGUUGAAACUGGCAGUCUUGAGUAAAGUAGAGGUGGGCGGAAUGCGUGGUGUAGCGGUGAAAUGCUUAGAGGUCACGCAGAACUCCGAUUGCGAAGGCAGUUCACUGGACUGCAACUGACACUGAGGCUCGAAAGUGUGGGUAUCAAACAGGAUUAGAUACCCUGGUAGUC
rnacentral:rRNA from 1 species